rnacentral:rRNA from 1 species
CAGCAGCCGCGGUAACACGGAGGGUGCAAGCGUUAAUCGGAAUUACUGGGCGUAAAGCGCACGCAGGCGGUCUGACAAGUCAGAUGUGAAAUCCCCGGGCUUAACCUGGGAACUGCAUUUGAAACUGUCAGGCUGGAGUCUUGUAGAGGGGGGUAGAAUUCCAGGUGUAGCGGUGAAAUGCGUAGAGAUCUGGAGGAAUACCGGUGGCGAAGGCGGCCCCCUGGACAAAGACUGACGCUCAGGUGCGAAAGCGUGGGGAGCAAACAGGAUUAGAUACCCGUGUAGUCCCUGUCUCUUAUAC